GUGGGGAAUUUUGGACAAUGGGCGCAAGCCUGAUCCAGCAAUGCCGCGUGCAGGAAGAAGGCCUUCAGGUUGUAAACUGCUUUUGUCAGGGAAGAAAUCUUCUGGGCUAAUACCCCGGGAGGAUGACGGUACCUGAAGAAUAAGCACCGGCUAACUACGUGCCAGCAGCCGCGGUAAUACGUAGGGUGCGAGCGUUAAUCGGAAUUACUGGGCGUAAAGCGUGCGCAGGCGGCUUUGCAAGACAGAUGUGAAAUCCCCGGGCUCAACCUGGGAACUGCAUUUGUGACUGCAAGGCUAGAGUACGGCAGAGCGGGAUGGAAUUCCGCGUGUAGCAGUGAAAUGCGUAGAUAUGCGGAGGAACACCAAUGGCGAAGGCAAUCCCCUGGGCCUGUACUGACGCUCAUGCACGAAAGCGUGGGGAGCAAACAGGAUUAGAUACCCCAGUAGUCC
rnacentral:rRNA from 1 species